AGACCGUCGUUCUCAGCACCAUGAAGUAGGAAGUCGGGGUUCUCGUGAGCCGAACUUCCAUCUUCUCUGCGGUGAGAACCGGGCUGAAGGAGCAGGGGAGCACGAGACAUGAUCCCUCCAGGACAGUCACUCUCACCGGGGCAGAAAGAGAGACAGCAGGUGUCGCCCUCCACUGACAUGCUGAAGACGGAACAAUGCAGAUCAGGGCAGAUAUAAUAAAACAUCACUUACCAGUCAUCACAGUAAAGAGCCCGAUCACUGCGUCCAGAGCCAUGAGCGCAGUCAGCCGGAGGGACGAUGUCGCACCAGUGGACAGAUGCUGCCUGGGGAUUUUUCUGUCUUUUUCUGUUUUAAAGGGAAGUCAAAACUGGAGGUCUGGCAUGUUUCGUAAUGCUGACCUGCUGUUCCAUGACGUUCCUGCUCAAGCAUCUUGACUCCAGUUACAUUUAUGCUUUUGGAUUUUAUCCAAAUCGACUUCAUUGCAUUCAAGGUACAUAUUGUUAUCAGGUCUUGCUUUCCCUGUAUGGGAAUCAAACCCAUGACCCUUGACAUUUCUAGUAUCAUGCUCUUCUGUUUGAGCUAUAGGAAGGCAUAAUUAGUAAACUGCAUAUAAGAUUAUAUUACUGUAGUCAUGCAUGCAGUUUACUUCAGUUUGCCAAAAAAAAAGAGAGAAAAGGAAUACAGACCAUUACAGAGAAGCUGCUUUUAGUUAUAUAAUUAUGACUAAACCCAACUGUCUUUAUGCUUUUUUUUUUAUAUUUUAUUCUUAAAUUUUAUUGUUUUUUUGUUGUUGUAUUCGUAUGUAUGCACUAGAAGCUUCAGUACCAAGAAAAUUUCUGAUUUUGAUAAAUAAACAUUUGAAAUAUCACCUUU